rfam:Pneumocystis jirovecii RT7 supercont1.8, whole genome shotgun sequence.
GCGUUUGUGGUUUAGUGGUAAAAUCCAUCGUUGCCAUCGAUGGGCCCCGGGUUCGAUUCCCGGCAGACGCA